rnacentral:lncRNA from 1 species
GUGUGAUCCGUAGCAGUUGUUACAGCUGGAGGAGUAACCAUAGCAGAGUUAGCAGAGUUAAUACUGCGAGCGGAAGGAUGAGACUUCUCCCACGCAACGUCUAUGUUACACUCAGACAUACAUGUACCUGACGAAGUAUGAUGCGUAGCAGUCGUUGAAGCUGGGGUAUUAGCAAUAGCAGAGUUAGCACAGUAACUAACAGCUGGAAACCCCUAUGCAGCAGUUGAAAUUGUGCGCCUAACUACCACCAGUAACUUUGACAUUGGAUUAGGAUGUGCCGGAUAGAGAUUUUGCCGGAUAACUGGAUGCCGGAUACCAUGUAAAAAAUAAGAGCCGGAUUCGGAUAUCCGGUCGACUGCUGCCUUUUAUAAAUUUCGCAAUAUUGUUACAAUACGUAAUUAAGAAUACAAAAUAUCUCUUCUGAAAUCCAAGUUAUAAAAUAUUCCUGUAUUAAAAAUAUGACUUUUCCGUCUCCAACCCUGAUUUCUAGAUUACACAGACCUGCGAGUUAAAUAAAUUUAAAUACAUA